rnacentral:rRNA from 1 species
UGGGGAAUAUUGCACAAUGGGGGAAACCCUGAUGCAGCGACGCCGCGUGAACGAAGAAGGUAUUCGUAUCGUAAAGUUCUGUCCUAUGGGAAGAUAAUGACAGUACCAUAGAAGAAAGCUCCGGCUAAAUAUGUGCCAGCAGCCGCGGUAAUACGUAUGGAGCGAGCGUUGUCCGGAAUUAUUGGGCGUAAAGGGUACGCAGGCGGUUUAAUAAGUCGAAUGUUAAAGAUCGGGGCUCAACCCCGCAAAGCAUUGGAAACUGAUAAACUUGAGUAGUGGAGAGGAAAGUGGAAUUCCUAGUGUAGUGGUGAAAUACGUAGAUAUUAGGAGGAAUACCAGUAGCGAAGGCGACUUUCUGGACACAAACUGACGCUGAGGUACGAAAGCGUGGGGAGCAAACAGG